GUGGCGAACGGGUGAGUAACACGUGAGCAAUCUGCCCUUGACUCUGGGAUAACUGCGGGAAACUGUAGCUAAUACCGGAUACUUUCCUCGCUGGGCAUCCAGCGGGGAAGAAAGAAUUUCGGUCAAGGAUGAGCUCGCGGCCNAUCAGCUAGUUGGUGAGGUAAAGGCUCACCAAGGCGACGACGGGUAGCCGGCCUGAGAGGGUGACCGGCCACACUGGAACUGAGACACGGUCCAGACUCCUACGGGAGGCAGCAGUGGGGAAUAUUGCACAAUGGGCGAAAGCCUGAUGCAGCAACGCCGCGUGAGGGAUGAAGGCCUUCGGGUUGUAAACCUCUUUUAGCAGGGAAGAAGCGAAAGUGACGGUACCUGCAGAAAAAGCACCGGCUAACUACGUGCCAGCAGCCGCGGUAAUACGUAGGGUGCAAGCGUUGUCCGGAAUUAUUGGGCGUAAAGAGCUCGUAGGCGGUUUGUCACGUCUGCUGUGAAAAUCCGAGGCUCAACCUCGGACUUGCAGUGGGUACGGGCAGGCUAGAGUGCGGUAGGGGAGAAGGGAAUUCCUGGUGUAGCGGUGGAAUGCGCAGAUAUCAGGAGGAACACCAAUGGCGAAGGCACUUCUCUGGGCCGUAACUGACGCUGAGGAGCGAAAGCGUGGGGAGCGAACAGGAUUAGAUACCCUGGUAGUCCAC
rnacentral:rRNA from 1 species